ACUUGGGUACUCUUGUGGGCUUACUUCAUAAUCAGAGAAUUCACAAUGGAAUGUAGUUUUACCCUUCAUCAUCAGGACCUCGUCUAAGCAGGAGUGUUAUCCAACAAUUUCCUCCAAAUUAAGAAGUCUCCUCCUAGAGGAAUGAGGGAAGCUUAUGAGCCUUAGGAAGUUAAUGACCCAAAUCCAAGAAAGCUGAACCUGUGAAGAUUCACAAGGCCCCUCCUCAACUUUAUAAGAACAACACAAUGCCAGGAAGAGGGGCCUCUCUGACCAGCUAAACUGCCUUCAAGUUCAAAGAGCAUAGAACUUGCAGCUUUCCUGACGUGUUACUCUUCCCCAGCUGGAUUUUUCAUGGGUGCCUUUGGGUCACCCAGGCUUCAGCAAGUUAUCCCAAAAUGGUCACUGGUUCACCAACUUGAACACAGAUGGUAUUGUUUGCUUGAAUCGUCACUGGCUCCUGGUCUGGGGUAAAUGAACAUUUGUUAGCAUCUCCCCACCUAGUUUGUGGGGGGCACUGGUCUCCUCUUCCUUUGCAUUGGCCAGACUUCCUCUAUCAUGGGCUACAUGCCUAUUAUUGGGGCUUGUCCCAUUUGUUGCAACCCUACCACCGUCGCAUCUCCAGCUGGCUGAAGUCGACAUCUGACAAUUCGAGGGAAUAGAUUGACAAACAGGUCAAGAAAGGCCUGGCUUCCUCCCAGAUAGGUGUCAUCCUUAGGGACUCACAUGGUGUGGCACAGGAUUUGUGACUAGUAAUAAAAUCUUGAGAAACCUUAAGUCCAAAGGCCUUUCCCCUGACCUACCUGAGGCUCUCUACCACCUAAUUAAGAAAACAGUCACUGUUCACAAGCAUCUUGAGAGGAACAGAAAGGAGAAGGAUGCUAAGUUCUACCUGAUUCUGAUAGAAAGCAAAAUUCACCAGUUGGCUCAUUACUAUAGCACUCAGCAAGUCCUCCCACCCAAUUGGAAACAGGAGUUGUCCAGGCUCUGUGGCAUAAAUUCUCUUGUGUAUACAAGCAAUAAAAUCAUUUUAGAUACAAA